CACGUAGGGCGCAAGCGUUGUCCGGAAUUAUUGGGCGUAAAGAGCUCGUAGGUGGUUUGUUACGUCCGCUGUGAAAUCCUAGGGCUUAACCCUGGGCUUGCAGUGGAUACGGGCAGACUAGAGGUAGGUAGGGGAGAAUGGAAGUUCCUGGUGUAGCGGUGAAAUGCGCAGAUAUCAGGAGGAACACCGGUGGCGAAGGCGGUUCUCUGGGCCUUACCUGACACUGAGGAGCGAAAGCGUGGGGAGCGAACAGG
rnacentral:rRNA from 1 species